AUAAUUUCAAUAAUACAAAAGAUUUGGCUCCAUUUUCAAAAUUCAAACUCCUCUCUCUGUCUCAAAUAUAGUUCUGACUCCAUUUUCAAAAUUUAAACUAUAAUUUCAACCCCCCCCUACCCCUCUCUCUCUCUCUCUCUCUCAAAUCCUGAGUGCCUCAUCUUUCAAAAUUCAUCUAGGGUUUCAAGAUCCGCAUUUAGGUGCUGAGUGUAUCGAUCCUGACUAUAUAUGGUGCAGUUUGCAAUUACUAAUCCCCAUUCUUGCAAUUACUCACAACUGGAGGACCAAAAGGGCAUUGCAAUUGCCGGAAUACCCGGAUCAAGCUGAGCUUGAUGCACUGCUCCAAACCCUUGAUUCGUUUCCUCCGAUUGUGUUCGUCGGAAUAGGCUUGGUGAGGCGGCUAUGGGGAAUGCGUUUCUUUUGAUGGGUGGUGAUUGUGCUGAGAGUUUUAAGGAGUUUAAUGUGAAUAAUAUUAGGGAUACUUCAGGGUGAUUCUUCAGAUGGGUGUUGUGUUGAUGUUUGGUGGUCAAAUGCCUGUCAUCAAGGAUUCAUCGUGUUGGUCUUCGUGAAAAAGUAUACUUUAAACCAGAAGAUGAGAAGAUGAUCUGAAGGCUGCAAUUGUAAGCGGUUCUAGUUUCCAGGGUUUUUUAACUUACAUCUGCCAGUCGUAAACAUUGUUGUGAAGGUGAAAUUGAAACUCCAAGAGCCUGUGAACUCUCACAAUCUGCUUCCUCGAAACGAUUACCAUUUCAAAAGAUUCUGCUUCAUUUAAUCUCAGCGGAUUCUUCGACACUUGACAACAAUGAACCAUCAGCCAAAAUUGUUGGGUUUAGGGGCUAUGAUCUUAAAUCCUGACAUAAAUCAACAACAUUCUAAAGGAUGGAUAACAGAGAAGGAAGCACAUGCUGGAAAAGGUGGGCGAGUGCAAUCAACAAAAAAAGAGCAAGUUCAAGGUUUGUAAUGAUACAAGUUAAUGAUUUCUUGAUAUAUUUACAUUUGUGUUGAUAGCUUAACUAAUUGGAUAUCUAUUUAGUAGCUUUUAUAUUUUUAGCAGGACAAAAAUGGUGGACUAAAUUUGGUCUUUUUGUUUGUAGCUGAUAAUUUAUAACAAAAGUAUGUAUAAACAAAUGGUUGAUGAAUUGAAAAAGAACUUUUACCGAAAUGGGUUAUCUUUGUUGUUUCUCCUACAAAAUUUAGUUCUCCAAAACUGAUUAUUUGACUCUUAAAGUGCCGGUCAGACGUGUAUAAUGAGAAUCAGUUUCGGUAUACCUAAACUAAUAAUAACUUUCAAAUUGUAAUGCCAAAAACCCCUGUAAAUUAAUGUACUUUGCUUUUUUCUAAAUAAUAUAGUCAAAGAUAGCAACUACUUUUUAAAUUUGUUUCAUUAUAGUCACUGUACUUAGAUAUGCUUCUUUUAAGUCAAUUUGGAGCCAAAAAAUCCAUUUUUUAUUGCAGACAUGGCUGUUUGAUAGCUAGAUAUGGGACUAAUCAUGCUUCCUUUGAGUUGAUAUGAUUUUUUUAUCAUCAAGUGUUGUGGUCAGAUUGAGGGGAGGCUGGUCCAAUGGAAUGGAAAUUGGACAAGUGAAACCUGUAGUAUGUGAGCCAUAGCCAUCGGAAACUUCUCCAAUGGAAUGGAAGCUGGACAAGCUGGGGAAAAAAGGCAAAACCUGGAACUAAAAGGCACGUGUUUCAUCAAUGUCAGUUGCUUGGGACGUCUGAGAAUGACUCAUCACUGGCUCACAAUCUGAUUCAUCAACGGCACUUGCUUAAAUAAAUUUUAGGCGAUUUUCAACCUGUUUGACAUGCUCAUUUUUUUGCUAAACUUUUAGACUUAACCCGCUUGAGAUAAACACAACCUGAAUGACCCAUUUGUAACCAAUUACAUAAACAAUUUUCUUCAUCUUUUGUCUAAUCAGGACUAGAUACCCAAAAAUCGCAACAAUUGAACAACAGAAACAGUCUAAUUGGUUAUUUUUUUGUCUGAUUAGGAUCUCAUUUUUUGCCAUGACAUUUUUAGACCCCUCAAGAAUAAAGUCUCAGUACAUGGCUCUUAAAUUGCAUACAGGGAGGGUCGGAGGUGCUCUGGCAGUGGAGGCGGUGCUGGCGCGGAGGUUUACGGGGUCCAGUACUCCGGAACGAUACCAUGUAUUUUUAUGGUGAAAUCCGGAUGAAUAAGACUUAUCACUCUUUACAAGAUGGAAUUGAGGGCAGAAUAUGAGGAAUGCCUACUUAAACGUCAUGAUCAGAAUAAUAUGACCACCAUCAAGCAACAACUACUUGCAUUACUAUAACACCAGAUGCCAUGUAUGAAUUCCAGGAAUGUAUUGAUUGGAUGAUACACAUUUAAAGCGUCUUACAACAUGAAGACACUAAUUGAUAAAGAUUAGCCAAGAUUAGUUACCUCAGAUUUGGUCUUAAUCACAAAAUGAUGGCUGGAAAAAGUGAAGAGAAAAGGAUGCACAAGACCUUGGAAUCGCCAUUGAACAUGAGUGAUAUGAUGACUCUCUUGGAGCUUAAAAAUGGAGGUCCAAUUGUUAGUGAAUAAUCUUUGAUUGGAUUAGAUGUUUCCAGCCUAAUCAAUCCGCUCGAAAAAGAGCUAUGUGAAUUGCAAGCCUAAUCCAACUACGGAACAAUACUAAACGACGGAGUUAUUCAAAAGAGUCAUUCUGUCAAAGAUUAGCUGACUUCCUUUUCAUUUUCUUUUAUUUUCUCUAACAUAAAAAGAAGCCAAGGCAUUAUUUAUAUUAUAUAUUAAUGAAAUUCGUUGAUUAUUGUGUUACAUAUGUAGGUAUGGGUCGGUGUAUGGGACGACGGAGAGUGGUGUUGGAUGGCAUCUAUGGGACUGAAUGAAGGAUGUCAUGGGUCAAAUGGGCUGAAGGGGUUGAAAAAUGGGGAUAUCCGUGGCAUGGGAUACACGAGGAUCAUGGCUGGGAUAAGGAGAAAGUCGGAUGAGCCAUUGAGGA
rnacentral:lncRNA from 1 species